rnacentral:rRNA from 1 species
GUGGGGAAUUUUGGACAAUGGGCGAAAGCCUGAUCCAGCCAUGCCGCGUGCAGGAUGAAGGCCUUCGGGUUGUAAACUGCUUUUGUACGGAACGAAAAGACUCCUUCUAAUAAAGGGGGUCCAUGACGGUACCGUAAGAAUAAGCACCGGCUAACUACGUGCCAGCAGCCGCGGUAAUACGUAGGGUGCAAGCGUUAAUCGGCAUUACUGGGCGUAAAGCGUGCGCAGGCGGUUAUAUAAGACAGAUGUGAAAUCCCCGGGCUCAACCUGGGAACUGCAUUUGUGACUGUAUAGCUAGAGUACGGUAGAGGGGGAUGGAAUUCCGCGUGUAGCAGUGAAAUGCGUAGAUAUGCGGAGGAACACCGAUGGCGAAGGCAAUCCCCUGGACCUGUACUGACGCUCAUGCACGAAAGCGUGGGGAGCAAACAGGAUUAGAAACCCCUGUAGUCC